UAUCAGUUGAGGAGUUGUCGCUCAGCCGUCAUCGCGAAGACAGAUUAUCCUUUGUCACAAACAAAGGACACUCUACUCCGAUCAAGUUACAAUUCUGUUGAUCUAUGUGUUUAAUUUUCUGAAAUGAAGAAGUAUAAUGCAGAUUUAAAAAGAAUUAAAUAGAUAAGAAGAUUAAGAUAAAAAGAGAAAUAUUUUCGUGAAUUAUUUGUACAGAUGUAAUCUGAGUACGAAAGAAUUUAUAGAAAUUCGUUUCAAAGACAAUAACAAAAAGACCUCUCAUAUGAUUUCAUGGUCAAUGUUAAUCGCUGUAGUUUAGGAUUAUCUGCAUCUCUUUCUGUGCCUCUGUCGUGUGUUGGAAUAUAAGUGACGCAAAAUGUAGUUGAGAAAUAGUAAAUCUAUAAAUAUAAGAUCUUUAUGUAAAAAUUUAUGCAAGAGCGAAAGUAAUGUAAAAACUAAUGCAAUCAUGAUUUUACGUAAAUAGGUAUAUUUACUUAUUGUAAAGAUAAGGGUAAUAUAAGAGUAAUAUAAGAUAAGGGUAUUUUGAGGGGCUUAAGAAAGAAAGAAAGAAAAAAAUCAUAUUGAUUAUUAUUUAUGCGUCUUUCGACGUGAUCUACGAUCGGUUGUAUUUUCUACAGUUAGCAGUCUGUUAAUGUCGUCAAUGAUGAAAAUUUAUUGUCGUUAAGUUGAUAAUCUAUCCUGUUCGCUUUCGUUAUCUUUGAUAAAUGAUGGAUAUUGAUCUCGUGGUUGAUACUACGAGGAUAGAAGGAUAUUGAAAGAUGACAGAUGGAUUUACAUAAAUUUGCAUGAUAAAGGAAAUUUUCAACUAGGUGCAGUUGCAAAGAGAUCGUGGAAAAAUUGUAAGAAAAUUAACAGAUAAAAUAUAUGUUCCUAGGAAAUAUUAUUUUGAGAGGCAUGAUUAAAAAAAUUUGUGACAAAUGAAAUUAAAGUAAGAUUAAAUGGAUUGACAAAAUUGGAAUUCAUUAAUUCUCCGCUGUCCAUGAUUUUGUGUUCGUAUUAAUAGAAUCUGGCGUUCAAAUAAUUCAGUGAAACAAAAAAAUCUCCUUUUAAUAAAUGAGUUACCUUGUAUUUGAUAUUUUAUUUAUUUAUUUAAAGUCGCAUACACUGUCCGUUGCUCUGUAUUUGAACCAGUUCAUACGAGAUCAAGGUACUUUCUGUAUGUAAUUUGUAUCUGAAACGAUUCCGUAUUUCAAUUGUUGCUUUUUAUCUUUAUUUCAAACUUGCAAUCAAGUCUAUCGAUCUUAAAUAAUCCAACAAGGUGCAACCAACAUUUGCAGCACCGUUUGCAAUAAUAUCGCUCUAUUAAAUUAUCCAUGCAAGCAACGAUGACAGGUUUCUUAAAUUUACAACCAUCCUAUUCCUCCUUCUUCUAGCCGAUCAGCAAAUUGAUCAAAUGUAGAAUCUAUUAAAUUUUAUGUUUGCGAUAAAUUAAAAUUGUUGCAUAAUUUCUGGAAAAAUUUAGAUAUCUACGUUUUAUACUGUUAUACUGCUAUAUGAUUACAUAUAUACUAAUUUUAUAUACAACUACUUUACUGUAAAUAAUAAGA